AGAGUUUGAUUCUGGCUCAGAACGAACGCUGGCGGCGUGUUUAAGACAUGCAAGUCGCACGGGAUUGAUUGAGUAGUAAUACGAGAUCAGUCUAGUGGCGCACGGGUGAGUAACAUGUGAAUUACAUGCCCUUCAGUGGGGAAUAGCCCAGGGAAACUUGGAUUAAUACCCCAUGGUAUCGCAAGAUUAAAGGUGGCCAGCAAUGGCUGUCGCUGAAGGAUUGGUUCGCACCCUAUCAGCUUGUUGGCGGGGUAAUGGCCCACCAAGGCUACGACGGGUACCUGGUCUGAGAGGACGAUCAGGCACACUGGAACUGAGACACGGUCCAGACACCUACGGGUGGCAGCAGUCGAGAAUAAUUCACAAUGGGGGCAACCCUGAUGGUGCAACGCCGCGUGGAGGAUGACGGUCUUCGGAUUGUAAACUCCUGUCAUCUGGGAGUAAGACCUGGCGAUGAAUAGUCGACAGGGUUGAUAGUACCAGAAGAGGAAGGGACGGCUAACUUCGUGCCAGCAGCCGCGGUAAUACGAAGGUCCCAAGCGUUGUUCGGAAUCACUGGGCGUAAAGGGAGCGUAGGCGGCGUGGUAAGUCAGAUGUGAAAUCCCGGGGCUCAACCCCGGAACUGCAUCCGAUACUGCCAUGCUAGAGGAUUGGAGAGGUAGCUGGAAUUCUUGGUGUAGCAGUGAAAUGCGUAGAGAUCAAGAGGAACACUCGUGGCGAAAGCGAGCUACUGGACAAUUCCUGACGCUGAGGCUCGAAGGCUAGGGUAGCGAAAGGGAUUAGAUACCCCUGUAGUCCUAGCAGUAAACGGUGCACGCUUGGUGUGAGGGGAAUCGACCCCCCUUGUGCCGGAGCUAACGCGUUAAGCGUGCCGCCUGGGAAGUACGGUCGCAAGACUAAAACUCAAAGAAAUUGACGGGGACCCGCACAAGCGGUGGAGUAUGUGGCUUAAUUCGAUGCAACGCGAAGAACCUUACCUGGUCUUGACAUGCAUCUCUAAGGUAGUGAAAGCUAUCGAGUGUAGCAAUACACAAUUUGCACAGGUGCUGCAUGGCUGUCGUCAGCUCGUGUCGUGAGAUGUUGGGUUAAGUCCCGCAACGAGCGCAACCCUUGUGAAUAGUUGCCAGCACGUCAUGGUGGGAACUCUAUUCAGACUGCCCAGAUCAACUGGGAGGAAGGUGGGGACGACGUCAGGUCAGUAUGGCCCUUACGCCUUGGGCUGCACACGUACUACAAUGCCCAGCACAAUGAGAACCGAUACCGCGAGGUGGAGGAAAUCUGUAAAACUGGGCUCAGUUCGGAUUGGAGGCUGCAACUCGCCUCCAUGAAGUUGGAAUCGCUAGUAAUGGGGCAUCAUCUACGGCCCCGUGAAUACGUUCCCGGGUCUUGUACACACCGCCCGUCACAUCAUGGAAGCCGGUCGCACCCGAAGUGCCCGUACCAACCGCAAGGGGGUAGGGUCCUAAGGUGUAGCUGGUAACUGGGAUGAAGUCGUAACAAGGUAGCCGUAGGGGAACCUGCGGCUG
rnacentral:rRNA from 1 species